rnacentral:rRNA from 1 species
AGUGAACGCUGGCGGUAGGCCUAACACAUGCAAGUCGAACGGCAGCACAGUAAGAGCUUGCUCUUACGGGUGGCGAGUGGCGGACGGGUGAGGAAUACAUCGGAAUCUACUUUUUCGUGGGGGAUAACGUAGGGAAACUUACGCUAAUACCGCAUACGACCUACGGGUGAAAGAAGGGGAUCUUCGGACCUUGCGCGAUUGAAUGAGCCGAUGUCGGAUUAGCUAGUUGGCGGGGUAAAGGCCCACCAAGGCGACGAUCCGUAGCUGGUCUGAGAGGAUGAUCAGCCACACUGGAACUGAGACACGGUCCAGACUCCUACGGGAGGCAGCAGUGGGGAAUAUUGGACAAUGGGCGCAAGCCUGAUCCAGCCAUACUGCGUGGGUGAAGAAGGCCUUCGGGUUGUAAAGCCCUUUUGUUGGGAAAGAAAAGCAGCAGGUUAAUACCCCGCUGUUCUGACGGUACCCAAAGAAUAAGCACCGGCUAACUUCGUG